rnacentral:lncRNA from 1 species
AUGCAAUGCAAUCAUGCAGAAGUGCGCGACGCGAGCUCUGCCGGUGGUCACUCUUGUGAGUCUUGUCCAGUUGUCCUGGAGCUUCACAUGCUGCGAGAGCCUGCAGCGUUCGGCCUGCCGACGCGGUCGGAUAUUGAUUAUUGCCAACUAAUUCAAGAGACGGAGGCGGCGGAGUCGGGGAGCUGCCCACCGCUGUACAAGAGGAUUCUGCAGGGCAGCAACAGGAACGUCGGCCACAAACUCCUCGUCAAGGACAAUGCAGGUUGCCUUCGUGGUCAGUGCGCCGCUCGUGCGCGGUGCGCCCUACUCCCAACCCCAACACCGCCCGUGCAGCCCCGUCUACAGGUGCCACCACUAGUCUUGAUGAUCUCGAUAAUCUUUGUCACCUGGCUAGAUAUAUAGAUUUGCUAAC